rnacentral:rRNA from 1 species
UACGAAGGGGGCUAGCGUUGCUCGGAAUCACUGGGCGUAAAGCGCACGUAGGCGGCUUUUAAGUCAGAGGUGAAAUCCUGGAGCUCAACUCCAGAACUGCCUUUGAUACUGAGAGGCUUGAGUCCGGGAGAGGUGAGUGGAACUGCGAGUGUAGAGGUGAAAUUCGUAGAUAUUCGCAAGAACACCAGUGGCGAAGGCGGCUCACUGGCCCGGUACUGACGCUGAGGUGCGAAAGCGUGGGGAGCAACAGG